UACAGGGGUGCUGACGCAAAAGUCGGCUGAGAUUGGGAUGGAAGUUUCCCUGACCCUCGAACCUGAUACGGAUAAUGCCGUCGUAGGGAGCAGGA
rnacentral:ncRNA from 1 species